UACAGAGGGGGCAAGCGUUAUUCGGAAUUAUUGGGCGUAAAGAGCUCGUAGGCGGUUUGUCGCGUCUGCUGUGAAAUCCCGAGGCUCAACCUCGGGUCUGCAGUGGGUACGGGCAGACUGGAGUGCGGUAGGGGAGAAUGGAAUUCCUGGUGUAGCGGUGGAAUGCGCAGAUAUCAGGAGGAACACCGAUGGCGAAGGCAGUUCUCUGGGCCGUAACUGACGCUGAGGAGCGAAAGCCAGGGGAGCAAACGGG
rnacentral:rRNA from 1 species